UGCUUUGCACAGUCACAGUAUUGUAGCCAAUGAGGUUUAUCCGAGGCGCGAUUAUUGCUAAUUGAAAACUUUUAAAGAGCCUUGGUGGUGCAGGCUGUUAAAUGCCUAGCACUUAAUUUCAGCUGCCUGCAAUUACUGCAGGCUCGAAUCCCAG
rnacentral:snRNA from 1 species